rnacentral:lncRNA from 1 species
CAGGUACAUUGGACUCUAGAUCUGAUCUAAUCAAAUCCGACUCAGGUUCAACUAUUGGUGUCGGUCCUUCUACCUGUUGAACUUCAUCAAGUUCAACCUUAGAGGCAACGAUUCCUUCACCAAAGAACUUCUUUUCUAAAAUGAUUGCUUUAAGGCUGACGAACACCUUUUGUUCAUCAGCAUGGUAGAAAAAAUAUCCUUUGGUCUCUUUGGAAUACCCAAUG